UACGUAGGUGGCAAGCGUUGUCCGGAAUUAUUGGGCGUAAAGCGCGCGCAGGUGGUUCCUUAAGUCUGAUGUGAAAGCCCACGGCUCAACCGUGGAGGGUCAUUGGAAACUGGGGAACUUGAGUGCAGAAGAGGAUAGUGGAAUUCCAAGUGUAGCGGUGAAAUGCGUAGAGAUUUGGAGGAACACCAGUGGCGAAGGCGACUAUCUGGUCUGUAACUGACACUGAGGCGCGAAAGCGUGGGGAGCAAACAGG
rnacentral:rRNA from 2 species